CCGAGGGCAGAAUAAACGUAAGGCAACAAGUCAAACCUUCGCCGAUUCAAACUACCGGUACUACUUCUAUUCAACUUAAAAAUAAAAGACAGCAUUCAUCAUUAUGUAGGACUACAGCAUAACUGAUGGCAACUCCACUCCAUAAACUUUAUCUUAAUAGAUAUAGUACCAGUAGCAUAUGCCCCAUGGACCUGUCCAGCAUCAGAAUGUAACCAUUUAUCCACAUUGCAGAGCUUAGGUUUGUCCGUCAGUAACAAUGAAAACACAACUGCUCAAUUGAAUAUAAAAUGCAGAAUGGAUUGCACUCGGUAUCAAUUCAUCCAACUUUAUUAUUAAAUAAACCCCCAAAAAGUUUCUGACUCACCAAUCUGACUCCCUGGCUGUAGAAAUAAGCAAUACGAUAGUAAUCCAGUGACAGUCUGACUGACAGCACAGCUAGCUAGCAUCCUUCCGUUCAUGUAGGCUACCUGUCCGUUUGAAAUGCUCGAACAUUGUUUGUCCCUGUUGCUGCUGUACACCGUCCAAGGCUGGCGCAGGCCUUUCUCUUGCUAUUCAUUCUGUUCCUUUUUAAAUUAUAAUCCAAUUUGUUAAAAUUCCUCCAGUCUGAAAUAUCUGCGGGCACGGACACGGCAGCUGCAAUGUUGACUUAAAAAUCCGCGGGGGUAACGCGACGUGAAUGAGCAUAGCCAACGUAAUGACGUUGGCCUAAGCUGCGUAAAUGUCUAGUAAUAUCUCGAUUUUAAUUGGUCCAUGAAUGAUAUGUAACGUAAAGGCUUAUGCAGUAUGAUGAGCUACAUCAGCUGUAUCCAAACCUGUCCCUCCUGUCAGCGAUCGCGCUCACGAUACCAGUGGCAAGUGUCAAUUGUGAGCGAGAUUUUUCUGCCAUGAAUAGGAUAAAGACAGACCUGCGAAACAGGCUGCAGGGCAAGAGUCUUACAGCCUGCAUGAAGAUCAGCAUCAAUGGCCCACCAGUGUCUAAGUUUAAUUUCAGCAGGGCGCUGGAACUGUUCUUUGCACAGCCACGCAGAAUAGCAUGCACUGAUGCCUCUUGUCAGCUGUGCCGCAAAUAAGAAGAUCCAGAAAGGAACUGUAAAUAGUUGAAUUUGCCCUUUUAUGUGCAUACAAAAGUUAAGUGUAUUGUCCAUUAUUUGUAUUUAAUUUGCACUGUUCUUUAAUUUUAUUUUGUAGUGUCUGCAUGUUUUCCACAACAUUUGUACCUACUGUUGUUUAUUUAUAUUGAAAUAAACAGUUGUUUAUUUCA